rnacentral:rRNA from 1 species
AGCCCGAUGAACCUGAAUAUCCAUUAUGAAAAAUUCAUCAUUAUAACUAUAAUAUUUUUUUUAAAUAUUAUAUGUAAUAGUGUGCAUUUUUUUCAUAUAAGGACAUUGUGAUCUAUUAAUAUGUAUUUAUCAAAAGAUCAUUUGCUUAAGUUUAUUUUAAUUAAUUUGCUUUAGCAUGUUAACAUAAAAUAAAUGCAAAUGAUUUGAUAAAGUGUUGAUAGAUUUAUUAUAUAUAAUGCGCUAAGAUCUUUUUUUUUUUAAAAAAAAAAAUUGUACAAUAAUAUUAUAAAAUCUUAUGAUUUUUAUAUAUUUUAUUGUAUGCAUUUAUAUGAUUUACAAUGCGAAAGAUUCAGGAUACCUUCGGGACCCGUCUUGAA